rnacentral:rRNA from 1 species
UUUCGCAAUGCCCGAAAGGGUGACGAAGCGACGCCGCGUGCGGGAAGAAGGCCUUCGGGUUGUAAACCGCUGUCGGGAGUUAAGAAGUGCAAGGAUGUUAAUAGCAUCUUUGCUUGACUAAGGCUCCGGAGGAAGCCACGGCUAACUCUGUGCCAGCAGCCGCGGUAAUACAGAGGCGGCAAGCGUUGUUCGGAAUUAUUGGGCGUAAAGAGCACGUAGGCGGCUAUGCAAGUCGGUUGUGAAAGCCUUCCGCUCAACGGAAGAACGGCAUCCGAUACUGCAUGGCUCGAGUGCGGGAGGGGAGAGUGGAACUUCUGGUGGAGCGGUGAAAUGCGUAGAUAUCAGAAGGAACACCGGCGGCGAAAGCGACUCUCUGGCCCGUAACUGACGCUGAGUGUGCGAAAGCUAGGGGAGCAAACGGGAUUAGAUACCCCGGUAGUCCUAGCCGUAAACGAUGGGCACUAAGUAGAGGGGUUUUA